UGGGGAAUAUUGGACAAUGGGCGCAAGCCCGAUCCAGCCAUGCCGCGUGAGUGAAGAAGGCCUUCGGGUUGUAAAGCUCUUUUGGCGGGGACGAUAAUGACGGUACCCGCAGAAUAAGCUCCGGCUAACUUCGUACCAGCAGCCGCGGUAAUACGAAGGGAGCUAGCGUUGUUCGGAAUCACUGGGCGUAAAGCGCACGUAGGCGGAUUUGUUAGUCGAGGGUGAAAUCCUGAGGCUCAACCUCAGAACUGCCUUCGAUACUGCAAGUCUUGAGUCCGGGAGAGGUGAGUGGAAUUCCUAGUGUAGAGGUGAAAUUCGUAGAUAUUAGGAAGAACACCAGUGGCGAAGGCGGCUCACUGGCCCGGUACUGACGCUGAGGUGCGAAAGCGUGGGGAGCAAACAGGAUUAGAUACCCGCGUAGUCCCUGAGCGGGCUGGCAAGGCGCAU
rnacentral:rRNA from 1 species